UAACACAUGCAAGUCGAACGGUAACAGGAGAGAGCUUGCUUUCUUGCUGACGAGUGGCGGACGGGUGAGUAACACAUGGGAAUUUGCCUCGAGGUGGGGGAUAACCUGGGGAAACUCAGGAUAAUACCGCAUGAUCUGUUUGGAGCAAAGUGGGGGACCUUCGGGCCUCACGCCUUGAGAUGAGCCCAUGUUUGAUUAGCUAGUUGGUGGGGUAAUGGCCUACCAAGGCCACGAUCAGUAGCCGGCCUGAGAGGGUGGACGGCCACACUGGGACUGAGACACGGCCCAGACUCUUACAGGAGAAGCAGUGGGGAAUAUUAGACAAUUUUUUUUCGCCCGCCGCGCCCCGC
rnacentral:rRNA from 1 species